rnacentral:rRNA from 1 species
GACGAGCGCUGGCGGCGUGCCUAAUACAUGCAAGUUGAGCGCUGAAGGUUGGUACUUGUACCAACUGGAUGAGCAGCGAACGGGUGAGUAACGCGUGGGGAAUCUGCCUUUGAGCGGGGGACAACAUUUGGAAACGAAUGCUAAUACCGCAUAAAAACUUUAAACACAAGUUUUAAGUUUGAAAGAUGCAAUUGCAUCACUCAAAGAUGAUCCCGCGUUGUAUUAGCUAGUUGGUGAGGUAAAGGCUUACCAAGGCGAUGAUACAUAGCCGACCUGAGAGGGUGAUCGGCCACAUUGGGACUGAGACACGGCCCAAACUCCUACGGGAGGCAGCAGUAGGGAAUCUUCGGCAAUGGACGAAAGUCUGACCGAGCAACGCCGCGUGAGUGAAGAAGGUUUUCGGAUCGUAAAACUCUGUUGGUAGAGAAGAACGUUGGUGAGAGUGGAAAGCUCAUCAAGUGACGGUAACUACCCAGAAAGGGACGGCUAACUACGUG